rnacentral:rRNA from 1 species
GAUGAACGCUAGCGGCAGGCUUAAUACAUGCAAGUCGAGGGGCAGCACGGGGUAGCAAUACCUGGGUGGCGACCGGCAAACGGGUGCGGAACACGUACAGAACCUUCCUUUAAGCGGGGAAUAGCCCAGAGAAAUUUGGAUUAAUACCCCAUAGUAUUGUUUGGUGGCAUCACCGGGCGAUUAAAGAUUUAUCACUUAAAGAUGGCUGUGCGGCUGAUUAGGUAGUUGGCGGGGUAACGGCCCACCAAGCCUGCGAUCAGUAACUGGUGUGAGAGGACGACCAGUCACACGGGAACUGAGACACGGGCCCGACUCCUACGGGAGGCAGCAGUAAGGAAUAUUGGGCAAUGGACGCAAGUCUGACUCAGCCAUGCCGCGUGGAGGAUGAAGGUCCUCUGGAUUGUAAACUUCUUUUAUCUGGGAAGAAACCCAACUUUUCUAAGGUGGUUGACGGUGCCAGAUGAAUAAGCACCGGCUAACUCCGUGCCAGCCGCCGCCGUAAAAC